CGGGUAUUCUCGGGUGAAUAAUUAUUCUUUUACAUUUUGGUUGUAUUAUUGCUUGAGAAUACACG
rnacentral:sRNA from 1 species